GCUUCCGUUGAAUGACGUGCUUGCACUGAUUUCAACAAUGAAGCGAGUGGCGAACUGGUGAGUAACACGUGGGAAAUCUGCCCAGAAGCAGGGGAUAACACUUGGAAACAGGUGCUAAUACCGUAUAACAACAAAAUCCGCAUGGAUUUUGUUUGAAAGGUGGCUUCGGCUAUCACUUCUGGAUGAUCCCGCGGCGUAUUAGUUAGUUGGUGAGGUAAAGGCCCACCAAGACGAUGAUACGUAGCCGACCUGAGAGGGUAAUCGGCCACAUUGGGACUGAGACACGGCCCAAACUCCUACGGGAGGCAGCAGUAGGGAAUCUUCCACAAUGGACGAAAGUCUGAUGGAGCAAUGCCGCGUGAGUGAAGAAGGGUUUCGGCUCGUAAAACUCUGUUGUUAAAGAAGAACACCUUUGAGAGUAACUGUUCAAGGGUUGACGGUAUUUAACCAGAAAGCCACGGCUAACUACGUGCCAGCAGCCGCGGUAAUACGUAGGUGGCAAGCGUUGUCCGGAUUUAUUGGGCGUAAAGCGAGCGCAGGCGGUUUUUUAAGUCUGAUGUGAAAGCCUUCGGCUUAACCGGAGAAGUGCAUCGGAAACUGGGAGACUUGAGUGCA
rnacentral:rRNA from 2 species